GACGAACGCUGGCGGCGUGCCUAACACAUGCAAGUCGAACGGAAAGGCCCUGCUUUUGUGGGGUGCUCGAGUGGCGAACGGGUGAGUAACACGUGUGUAACCUGCCCUUGACUUUGGGAUAACUUCAGGAAACUGGGGUUAAUACCGGAUAGGAGAUCCUGAUGCAUGGUGGGGGUGGGAAAGUUUCGGCGGUUGGGGAUGGACUCGCGGCUUAUCAGCUUGUUGGUGGGGUAGUGGCUUACCAAGGCUUUGACGGGUAGCCGGCCUGGGAGGGUGACCGGCCACAAUGGGCCUGAGGUACGGGCCAGAGGCCAACGGGAGGCAGCGGUGGAAAACAUUGCACAAUGGGCCGAAGCCGGAUGCAGCGACGCCGCGUGCGGAAAGACGGCCUUCGGGGUAUAAACCGCUUUCGCCUGUGACGAAGCGUGAGUGACGGUAAUGAGUAAAGAAGCACCGGCUAACUACGUG
rnacentral:rRNA from 1 species